rnacentral:rRNA from 1 species
GACGUAGGAUGCGAGCGUUGUCCGGAUUUAUUGGGCGUAAAGAGUUCGUAGGUGGUUUGUUAAGUCUGGUGUUAAAUCCCGAGGCUCAACCUCGGAGGUGCAUUGGAUACUGGCAGACUUGAGUACAGUAGAGGCAAGCGGAAUUCCCAGUGUAGCGGUGAAAUGCGUAGAUAUUGGGAAGAACACCAGUGGCGUAAGCGGCUUGCUGGACUGUAACUGACACUGAGGAACGAAAGCCAGGGGAGCGAAUGGG